rnacentral:rRNA from 1 species
UGGGGGAUAUUGCACAAUGGGCGAAAGCCUGAUGCAGCUACGCCGCGUGGGGGAUGAAGGCCUUCGGGUUGUAAACUUCUUUUGCUCUGAACAAGGCAUGCCUUUGGGGUGUGUUGAGUGUAGGGGUUGAUUAGCGCCGGCUAACUACGUGCCAGCAGCCGCGGUAAUACGUAGGGCGCGAGCGUUGUCCGGAGUUAUUGGGCGUAAAGGGCUUGUAGGUGGCUGGUUGCGUCUGUCGUGAAAGCUCAUGGCUUAACUGUGGGUUUGCGGUGGGGACGGGGUGGCUUGAGUGCAGUAGAGGAGGCUGGAAUUCCUGGUGUAGCGGUGGAAUGCGCAGAUAUCAGUAGGAAUACAGGUGGCGAAGGCGGGUCUCUGGGCUGUUACUGACGCUGAGGAGCGAAAGCGUGAGGAGCGAACAGG